rnacentral:rRNA from 1 species
GACGAACGCUGGCGGCGUGCUUAACACAUGCAAGUCGAACGGAAAGGCUCCAGCUUGCUGGAGUGCUCGAGUGGCGAACGGGUGAGUAACACGUGGGUAAUCUGCCCUGCACUCUGGGAUAAGCCUGGGAAACUGGGUCUAAUACUGGAUAUGACCUUUCUCCUCAUGGGGGUGGGUGGAAAGUUUUUCGGUGUGGGAUGAGCCCGCGGCCUAUCAGCUUGUUGGUGGGGUGAUGGCCUACCAAGGGGACGACGGGUAGCCGGCCUGAGAGGGUGAUCGGCCACAUUGGGACUGAGAUACGGCCCAGACUCCUACGGGAGGCAGCAGUGGGGAAUAUUGCACAAUGGGCGGAAGCCUGAUGCAGCGACGCCGCGUGAGGGAUGACGGCCUUCGGGUUGUAAACCGCUUUCAGCAGGGACGAAGCGUAAGUGACGGUACCUGCAGAAGAAGCACCGGCUAACUACGUG